CUGUUAAGUUUAUAUCUAUGCUUUUUCUCGGCCACGGGAAAGAAGCUGUGUUUUUUAUUUAAUAAUUUCAUGAGAGAGAGAGAGAGAGAGAGACAGAGAGAGAGAGAGAAAAGAAAGCCAGGCUGAUGAGUGAAGACUGCUUAUAGCUGCUUUAAUGUAAAUGAGAGCAGGGACUUACUUCCUGAAAAUGAAAUGUGAAUAUAAAGAGAUAAAAUGAAGGACAUGUUUAUCGCAGUGGUCAAUCUUUAUCAUGCAGGAAAAAUAAUUUGCUGUUGGAUGCACUGUUAUAGGAAAAUAAUCAAGCUUCAGAGUGGCAGCACAACCCAGUGGCUGAUUAUUUUUCAUCACUAUUAGGGAGGCCUCAUUUUAGAGGCUCGUGUCUAGGUCUCGGUUAAUGCUUGGUCAUGGUUUUAAAGGAAGCAACCUCUCUGAUGUGGACGAGAUCCAACAGAGCCGUUACACAGGUGCGCAGAGAAUCAACAGAGAAAUCUACGCUUCAUGUCCAUGACCAAACAAACCGGCGUGUUUGUGACAUUAGAAGGUUCACGCGAGCAAACACGGGCCAUGUGGUCAACCACUAAGCCUUUUAAAGAAGCCCUGAGAUCAGCAGGACUACAGCAUACAGUAUAACCCGAGCAAAAUGGAGCGUACCGCACAGACAAACACCGUGAAUCAGUAAAUGAUUGUGAGUUAUUUAUGAAUGUAAAAUAUUGCAAAAUAGUGGAUUGGGAAAUAACCGGCAUUAAAACACAACGCUGGUCUGGGAAUGUGCAAACAAAUACCUAUCCAGCACUUGUAUUUAAGUGCUCAGCAAGAGUGACUGAUUUUCUGCCACUUUAAUGAUGUGUGAUUAAAUUAAAUCCAAACAUCGCCUCUGGGCGUCUAGUUCAGACUACCAAAAUUUGUUUUGGGGAAUAGAAAUUAAAUCAUUCGAGUUCACACAAUUACAUGUUACUAACUGUGUUGCUGAGGCUGAGGCUUUAGUUACUUAGCACAUAGUCUUUUACAUUUACGAAAAAUAUCGGCGAGAAAGCAAGGGGAAGGUGUACCAGACAGUGGUGAGACCGGCCAUGCUGUAUGGUUUAGAGGCAGUGUCACUGAGGAAGAGACAAGAGUCAGAGCUGGAGGUAGGAUAGGAUUAGGAACGAGUACAUCAGAAGGACAGCUCAUGUUGGAUGUUUGGGGGGACAAAGUUAGGGAGGCCAGAUUAAGAUGGUCUGGACAUGUUCAUAGGAGGGAGAGUGAGGAGAAUGUUGGACAUGGAGCUGCCAGGCAGGAGGAAGGCCAUAGAGGAGGUAUAUGGAUGUAAUAAAUGAGGAUAUGAAGCUAAAGGUGCAAGAGUUGAGGAUGCAGAAGAUAGGGAUAGGUGGAGAGAGAUAAUUUGCUGUGGCGACUCCUGAAGGGAAAAGCCGAAAGAAGAAGAAGAUCAGGUUUUCCUCAGAUAUUUGGUGAACAAAGGAUUAAUAAACUGAAUAAACAAGAUGUUUAUUAUUUUAUUCAUAUUCAGUAACCAAAAAAGGGAAAAAAGUAACUAGUGUAUGAUUUAAUGAGUUACGUCAGUGCUGAAUUAGUUGGUACCAAAACCCUGUAGUACCAGGUGUGACCACUAGAGCCCGCUAUAAACAGCUCUCUCUCUCCUUAUACAUAUUUAACUAUAGUUUACUUAAGUACGUAAAAUUAACGCAACACAUUUCGCUUUAAAAUGGAUUCAUGUGUGUUUCUAAGAAACAUGUCUCAUUUCCACAAACACUGUCCUUAUUCAUCCUGUAUAAAAGGUCCAGCAGUUGUGUGCUAGGUAGCUAAAGCGGCUAGCUUGUUGCCUAGCAACACUGUUCUCACAGUAUAGUCAUAAUUUUACGAAUCUUACAAGAUCAUGUUCUUUGUAUUAUCAGUUAUGUUGUUAUGGUAUGAUGUUCCACGACAUGUAUAAUUAAUAUUACUAAAAAAAACAACUAAAAAAAGGGAUUAUCUAGUGUUAAGGUGGACUCGUCUAGCUAGAGCCCUGUUGCUAGGCAACUGGAAAAUUAAUGGCAUAUAGGAUAAGCUUGCUAACCAUUUAGCUUAUAAUUUAUUUUAUAAUUCAUAAAGACAGUAGAUAUCAGUCAGAAUUGUCAGGGACAGCAACAUUUCCGUCAGACUUGUUUGAAAUCCUUAAACUAAAAUUAUACUGUAAUUACACUUAGCACCGUUUACUAAGAAAUGUCAAUAUUGAUUCACAACUCGUGAACUCGAAUUGAAUCGAACCGAAUCUUCUUAAUGAAUCACUCGAGUCGGUUCAUGAUUCAAUUUCAAUCAAAAUUUGGGUUGCAGCUACGUGCUGUAUUUAGUUUUAUGAACUCGGUACAGUUAUGGAAAAUAUUUAAAAGUAAGAAACACUGCAAAAAUAAUGGUAUGAUGUUCCUCGACAUGCAUAAUUUAUAACACUAAAAAACAACUACAAAAAAGGAAAGGUUGUUAAGGUUGACUCAUCUAGCGAGAACCCUGUUGCUAGGCAACUGGAAAAUUAUGGGCGCAUAGGAUAAGCUUGCUAGCAAUUUAGCUAGCUUUCGCGUACAAUAAAAUGGUUAUUCAACAACUGAUAAAGACAGUAGAUAUCAGCCAGAAUCAGCAGAAUUUCCCUCGGACAUGUUUGAAAUCCAUCUAAAAUUAUACUGUAAUUACACUUAGCAUCGAUUAUUAAGAAAUGUCAAUAAUGAUUCAAAGCUCGUGAACUCGAAUCGAACCGACUCUUCUUAAUGAAUCACUCGACCCGGUUCAUGAUUCCAUUUGGGUUGCAUGUACGAGUUGUUUUUGUUUUAUGAACUCCGGUACAGUUCUAACAAUUUAUAAAAGUAAGACACACUGCAAAA